CCGAGGAAAUUCCGAGGAACACUUGGAUUUCCUCAGAAUUUCUUCAGAAUAUUUCGAGGCUUUUCCGAGGAAACAGAAACCCUAAAAGAAAAGCCCUAAAUCGUCGGAAAAGUCUCGGACUAUUCCGAGGAAAUUCCGAAAAAAUCCUUAAAUCCUAUUAUCCCUCAGAAUUUCCUCGGUAUUCUUAUAUUAAAAAAAAAAGGCAAUGCUACUCUGUUUCCGAGUCAUCAUCACCAGAUGAAUCUGAAUCUUGAUCUUGGUGAAACUUUCCAAUCUCUGGUUCAUCCUCUACGUGAACGACGGCUUCCUCUCCAAAGUGGGUUAAAUUGACUACAAGGCCAACUGCAGAUAAAUCUUCUGCUGCACUUAAGUUACCGGAUGUGCUUGGUUGUAGUUGGUCUUCCAGCUCAGAACUUCCCUGAACUCGGCCUCUUGGGUUG
rnacentral:lncRNA from 1 species